rnacentral:rRNA from 1 species
CAGCCGCCGCGGGAAUACAGAGGGUGCGAGCGUUAAUCGGAUUUACUGGGCGUAAAGCGUGCGUAGGCGGCUUCUUAAGUCGGAUGUGAAAUCCCUGAGCUUAACUUAGGAAUUGCAUUCGAUACUGGGAAGCUAGAGUAUGGGAGAGGAUGGUAGAAUUCCAGGUGUAGCGGUGAAAUGCGUAGAGAUCUGGAGGAAUACCGAUGGCGAAGGCAGCCAUCUGGCCUAAUACUGACGCUGAGGUACGAAAGCAUGGGGAGCAAACAGGAUUAGAUACCCCGGUAGUCCCUGUCCUUAUACA